rnacentral:rRNA from 1 species
UACAGAGGGGGCAAGCGUUGUUCGGAAUUACUGGGCGUAAAGGGCGCGUAGGCGGCCUGUUAAGUCGAACGUGAAAUCCCCGGGCUCAACCCGGGAACUGCGUCCGAUACUGGCAGGCUUGAAUCCGGGAGAGGGAUGCGGAAUUCCAGGUGUAGCGGUGAAAUUCGUAGAUAUCAGGAGGAACACCGGUGGCGACGGCGGCUUUCUGGACGACAACUGACGCUGAGACGCGAAAGCGUGGGGAGCAAACAGG